AACCUGGUUGAUCCUGCCAGUAGUCAUAUGCUUGUCCCAAAGAUUAAGCCAUGCAUGUCUAAGUUUAAGCACCGAGUGUGAAACUGCGAAUGGCUCAUUAAAUCAGUUAUAAUUUACUUGAUAGUCAAACUUAUCAUUGGAUAACCGUGGUAAUUCUAGAGCUAAUACAUGCAACAAGCCUGACGCGAGGAGGGCUGUAUUUAUUGGAUACGAAACUGAUGGCAGUGAUGCCUUGGUGAUUCACAAUAACUUUACGGAUCGUAUGGCUUUGUGCCGACGACGUAUCAUUCAAAUUUCUGCCCUAUCAACUUUCGAUGGUAAGAUAGAGGCUUACCAUGGUGAUAACGGGUAACGGGGAAUUGGGGUUCUAUUCCGGAGAGGGAGCCUGAGAAAUGGCUACCACGUCCAAGGAUGGCAGCAGGCGCGCAAAUUACCCAAUGCCGAUACGGCGAGGUAGUGACAGAAAAUAACGAUGCGGGGCCGCAAGGCUUUGCAAUUGGAAUGAGUACAAUUUAAAUCGCUUAACGAGUAACGAUUGGAGGGCAAGUCUGGUGCCAGCAGCCGCGGUAAUUCCAGCUCCAAUAGCGUAUAUUAAAGUUGUUGCAGUUAAAACGCUCGUAGUCUGAGAUGGUGGGGCGGG
rnacentral:rRNA from 1 species